UUUGGUGGCGAUAGCGAAGAGGUCACACCCGUUCCCAUGCCGAACACGGAAGUUAAGCUCUUCAGCGCCGAUGGUAGUUGGGGACUUCCCCCUGUGAGAGUAGGACGCCGCCAAGC
rnacentral:rRNA from 1 species